rnacentral:rRNA from 1 species
UACAGAGACUGCAAGCGUUAUUCGGAUUCACUGGGCGUAAAGGGUGCGCAGGCGGCCAAGUGUGUGAGGCGUGAAAGCCCGAAGCUUAACUUCGGAAUUGCACCUCAAACUACAUGGCUAGAGCAUUGGAGAGGGUAGCGGAAUUCACGGUGUAGCAGUGAAAUGCGUAGAUAUCGUGAGGAACACCAGAGGCGAAGGCGGCUACCUGGACAAUUGCUGACGCUCAGGUACGAAAGCGUGGGGAGCAAAAGGG